GGUUUCCUUAUUUUACCAUCCAUACACUCAUGCCCCAUCUGUCUUUUUAGUCUGCACAUUCCCUCGUACGACUGAGAGACAGAUUCUAUUAUCCAAUUAUUUUUAGUCCCUAAUAGUGGGCCUGGGAAUGUUAGGUCUGGGACCCUGACCAAG